rnacentral:rRNA from 1 species
GAUGAACGCUGACAGAAUGCUUAACACAUGCAAGUCUUUGGUGAAGCUGUGCUUGCACAGCCUAGCCAAGGCGGACGGGUGAGUAACGCGUAAGGAACUUGCCCUGCAGUCAGGGAUAACAGACGGAAACGACUGAUAAGACCUGGUAAAGUCAGGCGGACUCAUGUCCAGCCUGAUGAAAAGAGAUGCUGCAGGAGAGCCUUGCGUCCUAUUAGCUUGUUGGUGGGGUAACGGCCCACCAAGGCAAUGAUAGGUAGCCGGCCUGAGAGGGUGGACGGCCACAAGGGGACUGAGAUACGGCCCUGACUCCUACGGGAGGCAGCAGUGGAGAAUAUUGGACAAUGGGGGCAACGCUGAUGCAGCAAUUCUGUGUGCACGAUGAAGGUUUUCGGAUUGUAAAGUGCUUUCAGCAGGGAAGAAAAAAAUGACGGUACCUGCAGAAGAAGCGACGGCUAAAUACGUG